GCUGCGUGAGUCAUUGAGGUCUGAGAGGCAUGGGGCGAGAGAGGGUAAAUCCAAGAAGGGGAAAAAUGGUGCUGUUGAUUAUUCGCGGUUGAUCCAAGGUUACGAUAAUAUGUCAGCUGCAGAAA